rnacentral:rRNA from 1 species
UACGGAGGGUGCAAGCGUUAUCCGGAUUCACUGGGUUUAAAGGGUGCGUAGGCGGAUUAGAAAGUCCGUUGUGAAAUCUCUGAGCUUAACUCGGAAAUUGCGGUGGAUACUAUUAGUCUUGAAUACUGUGGAGGUUAGCGGAAUAUGUCAUGUAGCGGUGAAAUGCAUAGAUAUGACAUAGAACACCAAUUGCGAAGGCAGCUGGCUACACAGAUAUUGACGCUGAGGCACGAAAGCGUGGGGAGCAAACAGG